rnacentral:lncRNA from 12 species
AUGGGGACUGGAACAGUCCUAGAUCUUUGGGGGGAGGACUACGUUGAUCCCGUUAAGUUUUUCUGCGUAGCAGACAGGUGCGAUAGGCUUGGCACCUCUCCCCGCUGCUGCGUAGGUGAGGCUUGUCCUGAGAACAACCACAGCGACUUGAGGUUGAUCCUGUGCCUUCAGGAUGGUCCUGUCUCCCGGGCAGAGUCAGUUGGGGAGACAGGCGACUACCGAGUAGCUCAUCCUGUUAACCCGGUUAAUGAGCCUCACAGGUUUGGUCUCCCCCGUUCUUGUCACGGAGGAAGCAACAGCCAGGAAACGAGUUCAGAAGAAGAUCAUGAUCAUGAUCUGCUGCAUUAUCCUUGCGAUCAUCUUAGCUUCUACCAUUGGGGGCAUAUUUGCCUAAAAAAGUCCUCAGCGAUGGAGCCUCGGCCGGCAUCUUUAAUCCUCCUUGCACUUCCAUGGUGCCGUCACUUCUCCACUGCAGAUUCCUCAACAGCUACUCCUCUUCCCAUUAAGAAAUCCACGACACAGGGCGUCCAUCAACCACCUAGGAAAAGUCAUGCAAAGGCAGACAGGACAGGACAGGGUGGGGGUGGGCACAGGGAGCCACUGUGGCUGCUUCGGAAGGCGGGGUCAGGGAGGGGCUGCGGGUAG